GAUGAAGAACGCAGCGAAAUGCGAUAAGUAGUGUGAAUUGCAGAAUUCAGUGAAUCAUCGAAUCUUUGAACGCACAUUGCGCCCUUUGGUAUUCCGAAGGGCAUGCCUGUUCGAGCGUCAUUAUCACCCCUCAAGCCCUCGGCUUGGUGUUGGACGGUUUGGUGGAGGCCCCCUCGGGGGCUCCUGCCCCUCCCAAAGACAAUGACGGCGGCCUCGUUGGACCCCCGGUACACUGAGUUCUUCACGGGACACGUAUCGGACACAUGGGUUUACGGGACACGGUCUGCCUCCCCUCAGGGAGAAUCUUUCUAAGGUUGACCUCGGAUCAGGUAGGGAUACCCGCUGAACUUAAGCAUAUCAAUAAGCGGAGGA
rnacentral:misc_RNA from 1 species